UUAAGCGACUAAGCGUACACGGUGGAUGCCCUGGCAGUCAGAGGCGAUGAAGGACGUGCUAAUCUGCGAUAAGCGUCGGUAAGGUGAUAUGAACCGUUAUAACCGGCGAUUUCCGAAUGGGGAAACCCAGUGUGUUUCGACACACUAUCAUUAACUGAAUCCAUAGGUUAAUGAGGCGAACCGGGGGAACUGAAACAUCUAAGUACCCCGAGGAAAAGAAAUCAACCGAGAUUCCCCCAGUAGCGGCGAGCGAACGGGGAGCAGCCCAGAGCCUGAAUCAGUGUGUGUGUUAGUGGAAGCGUCUGGAAAGGCGCGCGAUACAGGGUGACAGCCCCGUACACAAAAAUGCACAUGCUGUGAGCUCGAUGAGUAGGGCGGGACACGUGGUAUCCUGUCUGAAUAUGGGGGAACCAUCCUCCAAGGCUAAAUACUCCUGACUGACCGAUAGUGAACCAGUACCGUGAGGGAAAGGCGAAAAGAACCCCGGCGAGGGGAGUGAAAAAGAACCUGAAACCGUGUACGUACAAGCAGUGGGAGCACGCUUAGGCGUGUGACUGCGUACCUUUUGUAUAAUGGGUCAGCGACUUAUAUUCUGUAGCAAGGUUAACCGAAUAGGGGAGCCGAAGGGAAACCGAGUCUUAACUGGGCGUUAAGUUGCAGGGUAUAGACCCGAAACCCGGUGAUCUAGCCAUGGGCAGGUUGAAGGUUGGGUAACACUAACUGGAGGACCGAACCGACUAAUGUUGAAAAAUUAGCGGAUGACUUGUGGCUGGGGGUGAAAGGCCAAUCAAACCGGGAGAUAGCUGGUUCUCCCCGAAAGCUAUUUAGGUAGCGCCUCGUGAAUUCAUCUCCGGGGGUAGAGCACUGUUUCGGCAAGGGGGUCAUCCCGACUUACCAACCCGAUGCAAACUGCGAAUACCGGAGAAUGUUAUCAUGGGAGACACACGGCGGGUGCUAACGUCCGUCGUGAAGAGGGAAACAACCCAGACCGCCAGCUAAGGUCCCAAAGUCAUGGUUAAGUGGGAAACGAUGUGGGAAGGCCCAGACAGCCAGGAUGUUGGCUUAGAAGCAGCCAUCAUUUAAAGAAAGCGUAAUAGCUCACUGGUCGAGUCGGCCUGCGCGGAAGAUGUAACGGGGCUAAACCAUGCACCGAAGCUGCGGCAGCGACGCUUAUGCGUUGUUGGGUAGGGGAGCGUUCUGUAAGCCUGCGAAGGUGUGCUGUGAGGCAUGCUGGAGGUAUCAGAAGUGCGAAUGCUGACAUAAGUAACGAUAAAGCGGGUGAAAAGCCCGCUCGCCGGAAGACCAAGGGUUCCUGUCCAACGUUAAUCGGGGCAGGGUGAGUCGACCCCUAAGGCGAGGCCGAAAGGCGUAGUCGAUGGGAAACAGGUUAAUAUUCCUGUACUUGGUGUUACUGCGAAGGGGGGACGGAGAAGGCUAUGUUGGCCGGGCGACGGUUGUCCCGGUUUAAGCGUGUAGGCUGGUUUUCCAGGCAAAUCCGGAAAAUCAAGGCUGAGGCGUGAUGACGAGGCACUACGGUGCUGAAGCAACAAAUGCCCUGCUUCCAGGAAAAGCCUCUAAGCAUCAGGUAACAUCAAAUCGUACCCCAAACCGACACAGGUGGUCAGGUAGAGAAUACCAAGGCGCUUGAGAGAACUCGGGUGAAGGAACUAGGCAAAAUGGUGCCGUAACUUCGGGAGAAGGCACGCUGAUAUGUAGGUGAAGUCCCUUGCGGAUGGAGCUGAAAUCAGUCGAAGAUACCAGCUGGCUGCAACUGUUUAUUAAAAACACAGCACUGUGCAAACACGAAAGUGGACGUAUACGGUGUGACGCCUGCCCGGUGCCGGAAGGUUAAUUGAUGGGGUCAGCGCAAGCGAAGCUCUUGAUCGAAGCCCCGGUAAACGGCGGCCGUAACUAUAACGGUCCUAAGGUAGCGAAAUUCCUUGUCGGGUAAGUUCCGACCUGCACGAAUGGCGUAAUGAUGGCCAGGCUGUCUCCACCCGAGACUCAGUGAAAUUGAACUCGCUGUGAAGAUGCAGUGUACCCGCGGCAAGACGGAAAGACCCCGUGAACCUUUACUAUAGCUUGACACUGAACAUUGAGCCUUGAUGUGUAGGAUAGGUGGGAGGCUUGGAAGUGUGGACGCCAGUCUGCAUGGAGCCGACCUUGAAAUACCACCCUUUAAUGUUUGAUGUUCUAACGUUGACCCGUAAUCCGGGUUGCGGACAGUGUCUGGUGGGUAGUUUGACUGGGGCGGUCUCCUCCUAAAGAGUAACGGAGGAGCACGAAGGUUGGCUAAUCCUGGUCGGACAUCAGGAGGUUAGUGCAAUGGCAUAAGCCAGCUUGACUGCGAGCGUGACGGCGCGAGCAGGUGCGAAAGCAGGUCAUAGUGAUCCGGUGGUUCUGAAUGGAAGGGCCAUCGCUCAACGGAUAAAAGGUACUCCGGGGAUAACAGGCUGAUACCGCCCAAGAGUUCAUAUCGACGGCGGUGUUUGGCACCUCGAUGUCGGCUCAUCACAUCCUGGGGCUGAAGUAGGUCCCAAGGGUAUGGCUGUUCGCCAUUUAAAGUGGUACGCGAGCUGGGUUUAGAACGUCGUGAGACAGUUCGGUCCCUAUCUGCCGUGGGCGCUGGAGAACUGAGGGGGGCUGCUCCUAGUACGAGAGGACCGGAGUGGACGCAUCACUGGUGUUCGGGUUGUCAUGCCAAUGGCACUGCCCGGUAGCUAAAUGCGGAAGAGAUAAGUGCUGAAAGCAUCUAAGCACGAAACUUGCCCCGAGAUGAGUUCUCCCUGACUCCUUGAGAGUCCUGAAGGAACGUUGAAGACGACGACGUUGAUAGGCCGGGUGUGUAAGCGCAGCGAUGCGUUGAGCUAACCGGUACUAAUGAACCGUGAGGCUUAACCUU
rnacentral:rRNA from 1 species